rnacentral:snoRNA from 1 species
AAAGCAGGCUGCAAUUGCAGUGCUCCCUGCCGUGGGGCGGCUGCCAUUUCCCUGCUGAGAGCAACGCCGUU